rnacentral:rRNA from 1 species
UACGUAGGGUGCAAGCGUUAAUCGGAAUUAUUGGGCGUAAAGCGCGCGCAGGCGGUUAUGUAAGUCCGAUGUGAAAUCCCCGGGCUUAACCUGGGAACUGCAUUGGUGACUGCAUCGCUAGAGUAUGGCAGAGGGGGGUGGAAUUCCACGUGUAGCAGUGAAAUGCGUAGAGAUGUGGAGGAACACCGAUGGCGAAGGCAGCCCCCUGGGCCAAUACUGACGCUCAUGCACGAAAGCGUGGGGAGCAAACAGG